AGUACUUAAAAACUAAUUAUCAACUCAAAUCUAUAGAAAUUAUUGAAAGAAAACAUGAAAAAACUUGAAAAGUAAUCGGUUAUAAAACCGAUCGACGGCAGAAAAGAUAGAAGCCGGCCAAAACCACUCAUAGAAGCUGGAUUUGCCGGACGAUAACCGGCUAUCUCCACUAACAGAACUGGAAGAUAUCGGGCAACAGUCCAAAACACUUGGGACAGCGAUUCACCGGAAAAUUUCCGGUCUGUAAACAUCAAAAACUUUCUCUCUCUGAAAGUUAUGUGAGAGAGAACAGAGUUUUAUUUGAAAUUGCGGUUUACAAAAACAAAUCGGAAACCACACUACACAACACGGUAUUGAGAAAUCAU
rnacentral:sRNA from 1 species